rnacentral:rRNA from 1 species
AAACCAACAGGGAUUGCCUCAGUAACGGCGAGUGAAGCGGCAAAAGCUCAAAUUUGAAAUCUAGCACCUUCGGUGUUCGAGUUGUAAUUUGAAGAUGGUAACCUUGGGUUUGGCUCUUGUCUAUGUUCCUUGGAACAGGACGUCAUAGAGGGUGAGAAUCCCGUCUGAUGAGAUGCCCAUUCCUUUGUAAGGUACUAUCGAAGAGUCGAGUUGUUUGGGAAUGCAGCUCUAAGUGGGUGGUAAAUUCCAUCUAAAGCUAAAUAUUGGCGAGAGACCGAUAGCGAACAAGUACAGUGAUGGAAAGAUGAAAAGAACUUUGAAAAGAGAGUGAAAAAGUACGUGAAAUUGUUGAAAGGGAAGGGCAUUAGAUCAGACUUGGUGUUUUACGAUUAUCUUCUCUUCUUGAGUUGUGCACUCGUAUUUCACUGGGCCAGCAUCGAUUCGGAUGGUAAGAUAAUAGCAGUUAAAUGUGGCUCUUCGGAGUGUUAUAGUUUCUGUUGAUAUUGCCUGUCUGGAUCGAGGGCUGCGUCUUUUGACUAGGAUGCUGGCGUAAUGAUCUAAUGCCGC